GGUGGGGACUCUAAACAGACUGCCUGUGCAAACAGAGAGGAAGGUGGGGACGACGUCAAGUCAUCAUGGCCCUUACGUCCGGGGCUACACACGUGCUACAAUGGAUGGUACAGCGGGCAGCUACAUAGCAAUAUGAUGCUAAUCUCUAAAAGCCAUUCACAGUUCGGAUUGGGGUCUGCAACUCGACCCCAUGAAGUUGGAUUCGCUAGUAAUCGCGUAUCAGCAAUGACGCGGUGAAUACGUUCCCGGGCCUUGUACACAC
rnacentral:rRNA from 1 species